rnacentral:lncRNA from 1 species
GCAGGUGAAAAGGAUCUGAAAGAGACACUUACCUAUCAGGGGAGAAAAAGAAGGUUGAAUAUGGGAGGGAAGAACAGCUGAAAUUCAAGGAACUUACACAAGACAGUGCAGUCUGCUAAUACUCCUGAAGGGUUUGUUAACAAUGAGGUGAUUUGUUACCAAAUGAUUGUCUGUUCUGUGUUAGUCUCAUAUCUCAUAUCAAAAUCUUACGCUGGGCAUCUGGCUUCUUUGUGCUUCUUUUCUUGAAGGACAUAUUAGAGGAUUUUUCUUUGCAGUGCCAUUUAGGAAAUGUUUUGUGCUCUAGAUGAGCUGGGGAAGGGGAGAGUCUGCUGAAGGGGAUCCUGCACAGCCCAGGGGUGUGAUGUAACAGGAACCAAGCAGACUGCCUGAGAAGAUACAGGGGAGGAUGGAUAUGGCUGCACAACUCCAGGUUCUCUUUUAGGGUGCAUUGAAUUCUCAAGCAGAGAUAGCACUUGUGAGCCUGAACUCUGUGCAUUGUUCAACACCUUAAUGUUAUUCCUCCUAGGGAGAUCAGAUGCCGGGAUGAGGGCCAGCAGAACUCCUUUCUGAUACAGCUCUUCCACUGAAGUCCCCAUGACAUUUUCACAGCUCUGCAUCUUAUCGGGUCUUGACCACAGAGGGUGGUUAAUGUGCAGCACUGCAGUACACACAGCCCAACCUGCUGCAAGAUGACUCCCCCAGAUGGAUCCCCUCCAUUGAGGACAGUAUAAGUCAAACAUUAGAAGGUAAGCAUUCCCAACUGAAGGCAGAAUCGAAUUCAGCCCGUUUUCCUUAGCUCACCUAAGGUCUGAGCUGCCAUCUGGCCAUACCUAUUUCUCUUCACUGGCUCUCAAAAGACCAACACUGUACCAAAUCAGAACCAUUCCCCAUGUGUGAAGCUGGCUUGAGAAGGUUGUAGAAAUGUAGGGUUUGUUUUCACAUAACUCCACUUCUACCAUACCUUGAGGACUACACAAUGUAUACCAGCACACUGUGGCCUUAAUAUGAGUUGGGCAUGGACUUGCUCUGAUGCAGCAGAAUAGACUCUAGGGAAGAUGUCCCUGACUCAAAUGCUACUGUCAUUGCCAAGGUCUGUGAGCUCAAAGAUGGAUCCUAGACUUGCUGCUGCAUCUGAGGAUCAUCUUCUGCAGUAGGAGAAAUUUAAUACCGCACCUCUGUGAGUGUGAGAUGAAGCUUUAUAAAUUUCUUAGUCCAUUUCUCUGGCCAAACAAUUUGUGCACGUGCUUGAAGCCUUCCUGCCUCUGACUCAUCUCAUUUUGUGCUCCACCUUGUCUUUGGGAUGAAACCUUAGACCCACCAGAUUCUGUCAUCCAGAAUGAGGUUUGACAGUAACCAUAAAACCUCCCUGGGGGAAGUGUGAGUGCAAGCAGCUGCUGAAGCCACAACAAUGGGACUGUGUGGCAGUUCACAUAUCUGGUCUGCAUGCUGUCAACAUAUCACCCUUCCAGAUACACAAGCGAUGCUCUUUUGUUGGCCUGGCUGAUGCAC